UUCACUCUAUCAGCAGUGAUUCAAGGCUUCGUCAGAUGCGCCCCUCAAUUAAAAGCAAUCUCUCACAGCCAAACACACGUCUCCACCAUCCUGACUUGUGGAAAUCUCAAAAGGCCAGCUCUUCUCAUGAGACUUCCACCGUGGCCUCAAAUUCUGUGAGAACAACUUCCCAGGAACUGGAAGAACAGAGGAGGACUUCAAGCAACCUCAGAUAAUCCUGCACAUUCUGCACCAGAACUGUUUAGCUUGUUUCUUCACUGCCCACUCCAUCCUCAACUUGCUCAUCUUCAGAUGAGCCCAAUGCCAAACAUCCUCCACCUACCUUCCUUGCUACUGUCUCCUGGAGCCCCAACCAAAACCACCCUGGACAGCAGCAUGCAUUGCUCAAAUCUUCACCAAUUCCCAUAGCCAUGCUGUCAGAGCUACAGAGUUAAUCCAUGGUCAGAGACUGGAUCUCCGCAGAACCGAGUCAACAGAAGAGCUCCAAGAGCUGUUUAAAAUGGCCCAGCAGGACUGACUUCAUUAGUUAGAGAUUACUUUAAAAAAGGGAAGACGACAGGGUGGGG
rnacentral:lncRNA from 1 species